CAAUCGCUUUACGUGUUCAAAUCAAUUUAAAUUUAUCCAAUUCAAAGAUAUCAAGUGAGAUGUGCCCAUUGUUUUUAAAAUUAAAUUUUAUAAAAUGUCUGAAAACACAAAUUUCUGUGUGGAUUUAGGUAGGAAUGUGGGUGUGCAUGCAAAGUAGUUAGUUAAGACUCUGUUAUAAGUAUAUGAGUUAUUUGUUGAUUUCAAAAAGUUUUUACGUACAAUUAUAGGGAUAUAAAUAAACAAUACAUUUAUCUCCGUCUCAAAGCCGUCAUGAAAAAGGGUACAUCCUGUAAUUACAGACUUGCAAUAUAAUCAGAGGACUGCACGUUUAAGUACCUAUAUAUUAGUCUACUGGAUGUUGAGAGCAACUUGAGCUAUACAAGGUCACAAGAAUCUUUCCAAUUAAUGCCUAUGUAUAUAUUAUUACUUUAAGUCUAGUUAAAAAUACUAUCUAAUUAGUAAUUUAUUACAAAAAUAAUAAUACAGAUUAACGAAAGCUUCUUUAGAAUAAAGCUAGUCGUAGAAUUUGUAUAACAGCGUCUGUAUAAUUCAAUAUUCUAUUUUUGUCAUUUGAAAUAGAAUUUUGAAACUCCAACCCAAAUAAAAAUAGUUUUUAUUAAAAUUAUUUCUAAUAAUAUAAUGUGUACAUAAACUUUUAUGAUAUGCAUAACCGCUGCAUAAUGUUUAUCGGAUAUAAUCGGGGUUUGUAUAAGUUUGUACAAGUGACCUAUUAGUUAUCAGUAGACCUUUAAUGUUUUUCUACAUAUACUAGCUUUACAAUAUAAUAUAUAAUAUGUAAAAAAUCUUCAACACGUUGUUUUAAGAGAUCGUGGUUGAAUCUCGUCAUAGAAAUCUGAAUCAUUCUUACGUUAUGUGCUAACCCUGGAAACUUUCGACGCCAAAAUUUACUCUGAAAAAUAGCUUUAAAAAAGUACCUCAUUUAAUCAUUUAUUAAUUUUUUUUUCAAUUUAAAAUGCAACCUUAAUAUCCAAGUUCAGAGAUACUAAAAAUAAUUUGCUCAAUCUUUGUAAGCAAGGCAACCACGCAUUGCUGGUGGACUCAAUAGCCGCAGACAAAAGUGAGCAUACAGUUCUCGUAUCCAUGAUAAAGGUAGGAUGAAAAAUUUCUAAUUAACUUCUAAAACGUGUAUGCAGCACUGUUCCGGACGGCUCGCGGCACACACAAGUGCAUAUGCGUCAUUCGCUCUUGCUCUCUAGCAGCUCCUUCCCUCAUUCCGACUCCUUGGAGCACAGUAGGAGCGUAGGACUGGCUCAUAUUCGAAUGAGCCUACGAGCGAGCCCUAAUUGUGCGGCUCUGCGCGGGCGCAAGGAAAAUCCAAAGCUAGCGGAAAAGCAAGUCGAGGGGCAAAACUCGAUUUCCGAGCGACCGUGGCUCUGUAUAGGCUACAUACGAACAAGCGGUACAGCCGCGCACACGCGGGGGAGUUCGGCCGCGUGCAGUGCACACAUCGUCGUCGCCACUAACUGCUAUACUCGCGGCCAGGAGAGAACGAAGCGAGAUCAAUAAGGCUGCGUCCACAAUUGAGCGUAUACGUUAGGGUUUACAAGAGUUGCCUUGGAAGGGAGGAAUACAAAAAUAGCUGUAGUAUUGAUACAAAAGGAAGCUCCUCCACCUCCUGGUACUGAAGAUAUGGUAGCUACAGAGCGAGCAACUGCACUUUCUGCUGCAUGCGAGUUACCAGCAAAAACUCUUUAUUUUUUACCUUAUGCAGAUCAUUUAUUAGGCUACACAUUUAGAUUAGAGCAUGUUUUAUACAACUUAGCCCAAAGUUUUUAUCAUCAAGAAUAUCGAAUAGUAAAGAGUCAUAGAGAACAAUUAAACAAAACUGCCCAUCGAUACUUAUUUGCAAGACAUCAAUUGAAAAUGUCUUUUCUAAAGAUUGAAACAAUAUAUUUU
rnacentral:lncRNA from 1 species